rnacentral:rRNA from 1 species
ACGGAGGGCGCAAACGUUGUUCGGAAUCACUGGGCAUAAAGAGCACGUAGGCUGUUCGUUAAGUCGGAUGUGAAAUCCCUCGGCUCAACCGAGGAACUGCAUCCGAUACUGGCGAACUCGAGGACGGUAGGGGUAAGUGGAACUCCAGGUGGAACGGUGAAAUGUGUAGAUAUCUGGAGGAACACCGGUGGCGAAAGCGGCUUACUGGACCGUCUCUGACGCUGAGGUGCGAAAGCUAGGGGAGCGAACGGG